rnacentral:tRNA from 1 species
UGGAAAAUAGUUUAAUUGGCAAAACAUGAUUUCGCGAAUCAAAUGUAGGUUCAACUCCUGCUUUUCCAG